rnacentral:rRNA from 1 species
GCGAACGCUAGCGGCAGGCUUAACACAUGCAAGUCGAGCGGGGAGCAAUCCCAGCGGCGAACGGGUGCGUAACGCGUAGGUAAUGUACCUUCAGGUGGGGAAUAACCGUGCGAAAGCAUGGCUAAUACCGCAUAUGUCCGUAAGGAUGAAAGCAGCAAUGCGCCUGUAGAGCAGCCUGCGUCCCAUUAUUUAUUCCUAGUUGGCGAGGUAACGGCUCACCAAGGGUACGAUGGGUAGUUGGUCUGAGAGGAUGAUCAGCCAUAUUGGAACUGAGACACGGUCCAGACUCUUAUGGGAGGCAGUAGUGGGGAGUAUUGCGCAAUGGGCGAAAGUUUGACGCAGCCAUGCCGCGUGAGUGAUGAAGGUCUUCGGGUUGUAAAGCUCUGUCGCAGGGGAAGAACACAAUGACGGUACCCUGCAAGAAAGCACCGGCUAACUCUGU